UACGUAGGUGGCAAGCGUUAUCCGGAUUUAUUGGGUGUAAAGGGCGUGUAGGCGGGAAUGCAAGUCAGAUGUGAAAACUCAGGGCUCAACCCUGAGCCUGCAUUUGAAACUGUAUUUCUUGAGUGCUGGAGAGGCAAUCGGAAUUCCUAGUGUAGCGGUGAAAUGCGUAGAUAUUAGGAGGAACACCGGCGGCGAAGGCGGCUUACUGGACUGUAACUGACGUUGAGGCUCGAAAGCGUGGGUAUCGAACAGG
rnacentral:rRNA from 1 species